AUGUUGGAAUCAGCAACUCAAAUAUCAGAUGAAGACCAAAGUGAUUCUCCUCUUCCAGAUUUCUUUCAAGAUGCUCAAGACUUGUAUGGGAUAACAUUUCAGUUGAAGUAUUGCACCAGAUCAGUAUAUAAGAUUUUCAGCAUUUUUUGUAUCAAAAUAAAUUAGGGGAUUUUACUUUUGGUAUUAUUAGACAAAUUACUUUUUGUGAAUUAGACAGUUCUGGCAGCUUGUAUCAGACCUUUCACUAUUCAUUUGCAAUCUGCAGUAUCAUUUGAAUUUUGGUGGUAUCAGCAAUUAUUGGAGACUUUUCACUGUUCGUGAAUAUUGUUGUUCAUUUUACUUUUCAUUGUAUUAUUGCAAUUUUAUUAUUUACUUUUGUAGGCUAUAUAAGACACACCUUGUAUUGGGGCACUUAAUUUCAGCUCUAUGUUUUCCUCAGUUUCCAAACUUUCUUUUGCAACCUUCUUUUGUAUCCCAAAUCUUCAUUUAUAUUCCUAACCUCAAUCUUCCCUUGUAAUAUUAUAAAAUAUUUAAAUGAAUUUUAGAGGUUCAAGUAUUACUUAUAUUUUGCAACUUUCGUUUAACCUUCCUCCAAAGGAAAAAAUAAUCAUCUUAGACUAUAAGAAAAAUCAUAAUUUUUUUCUGUUUAAUUUUUCAAAACCAUGUUUACUGUGCUCAAAUUGGACAAUCAAAUUAAAAGAUAUGACUAGAUCUAGUUUUAAGAGUCAAAAUGCAUUUGCAUAGCUAAGGUGAAUCACAUGUGGUUGCUACUAAUUAAUUAUGAUUGAUCUAUUAAAAGAAUUAAUAUAAUUAUUGUGAGAGGAGUAGAUUCAAUUCUGGGCCAAGGCCCAAAGGGCCUUAAAGCUCGCACUAAAAAGGAUAGGCUAGGCCCACUACUAUGAAUCAUAAAGGAAAGUGCCCCCCAGAUGAUUCUCGAGGAGUUCAGGAUAUGCUACCAACACUAAAACUCUCAUCCAAGGAAACAAACAUGGGUGACCUCGGAUAAUACAAAGGAGUAAUCCCGGAAAACCAGUUUCCUUUUCGUAAUCUGAGGUACCAUUCUCCUUAAGCAUAUCAUGGAGAACUCCUUUAGGGGGAUAAGCAUUAUAGAGAUUGUCACCCUCGCAUUAAUGAGAGAUUCUCCACCUAAUCCCUACCACAUUAAAUGCAUGUGAGACAAUAUGAAGUCCUGAACAGUACUAAUAUCCCCAAAAGUCCUACUUUAAGAUAAAAAUGAGGAGAAACCAAUAGGAGGAAAAAUAUCCAAAAAAGAUCUAGUCAAGGGUAAGCCAGCUGGAGGGAUAAGGGAAGGAAAAAGCCUAUAAGAAAAGAGGGGGUGUGAGAAAAAGGGAGAAGAAAAAAGAAAAAGAAAAAGAGAAGAGUGGAGAGAUUUUUUCUUAUCUUCGAAUCCCAUCACAACAGGAAAAGUGUGUAAUGAUUGUUGCUAAUAAUAUUAAUACAAUCUUGCUUUCAUAAAUUAGUUGUUUGAGUUUCUCAUUAUGGAGUUUUCAUCUUACACAUUAAAUGAAUAAAUUAUAUUAUUCGGAUAUCUAGGCUAAUAUAUAUUUGUAAGGGCUUUUCGGCCUUUUUAGAUUGUUUUUGACCUCCACAAUUAUUUAGAUAUAUAUAUUUUUGGGUUGUCUUCUAUAUAUAUAUAUAUAUAUAUAUAACUCAAAGAAAAUCCAAUUAUAUUUUAAUUGGAUUCUCAAUUUUGCAUUGCAUGUCUCAUCUAAUUUUUAAUUUUUGUGCUAAGUGAAUUGUUGAGUGUAAUAAUCAAUGAAUCCAAAUUCAAUUAUAUUUUAAAUUGGAUUUUAAUUGGAGUCCAAUUUUGUGACACGUAUCUAUCUACUUUUUUAAUUUUUGUGGCAAGUGACUUAUUAGGUGCAAAAACUGAAAAUGAUAAAUCCAAUUAAAUUCUAAAUUAUAUAUGUAUAAUGAGAAAUAAUUAUAUAUUUUAGAAAUGCAUAGUUAAAAAAAAAAAAAAAAAGUGUAAGCUAGUACCAUGUAUAAUUUGAACAUCUUCUAACAAAAAUGUAUUAUUUGAAAGAUAUAAUUGUGAUUAUUUUUAAUUAUACCUGUGCAAAUACACGAAAUUAUACACUAGUAAUAAUAAUGAUAAGGAUCUAUGCGUUUUAGACAUUCUAAGAGAUUGGAUUAUCAGAAAGUCCAUAAGUUUUAAACAAUUAAUUUAUUUUAAGUCAUCGUCUAAAAAUGAUAAAUAUUAUGAAAAAAAAAGAAUGAAAAAAAAGAAGCAAAUCUAGACGGUUAGGAUAGUAAAUUAGGACUCUGAAGUCAGAACAAGUUCUAAAAAUUAAUUCAAAAGAGUCAAAACAGUAAACACCCAAACUUAAAACAAAGCACCAAAAAAAAAAAUUGUGAUUUUUCAGAUUCCAGCUCAACUCUUAUGCCCAAGGCUUUUACCUUUUUAUAAAUAGAGGAAAUCCCUUCAUUUACAAAGCACACAAAAAUCCUUUGAAAGGGUUUUUGAGAAAAGAGACAUAAGGUGGUUGCUAAUCGUUUUUGUCAUCUAUUUGCUUGUAGGUUUUUUUCCCCUUGUAUUAACACAAGUUAAUGCUAUUUGUUGUUAGGAAUUCCUUAAUUGCAUCCAGCCUCAUAAUUUAAGUUCUGAUGACAAGCAAUAAUCAUGAUGUUUGAUUCUGCUUCUGUUGAAAUACUUUUGUAAAAUGUAAACUAUUCAUGCUUGUUAGGCAUGUUAUGAACAAAAGUAUUUUAUCUGCUUUUUUUGUCAGAUUUCACUUUAGAUUUUCUCAUUGAGAUCCUUGUUUCCCUAGGAAGAUUAUCUUUGUAAAAAUUUUGUAAUCUCAAUUUUUUUGCACCCCCUUUUUUUUUUUUUUUUUUUUUUUUUUUUUUUUUUUUUUUUUUUUUUUUUUUUUUUUUUUAGAAAUGUUAGUUUUUUCUUUGCCGAGGAUGUUGUUGAGACAAUGAUAAAUGUUUAAUCCUAGCUGAUUAUAUUUAUGAGACCUUUCGAGGUCUGGGAAUGAAACUAUCCACAUGUAUGAUGUAUCUGAUCCUCUAUAUCAUAUAUCUUAUUUUUCAGUUUCUAUGAAUCAUUUUUUACCAUUUAUUUCCUUAAUUAUGGAACCUUUUCUUUGUAUGCUAUUGGUAUUCUUAUUUACACUUGUUUGACAAGUUUGUCUCAAAUUUGUUUAUGAGAUUUUCUCAAACUUUAGUGUGCUUUCAGUUAAAAUUUUCUUUUUAGUGGUUCAUUUUGUGGGUUGGCUCUUCUGUUUUAAGGUUAAUAGUAAUAGUAGUGAUUGCUCCAUCUAAGUGCUUGUUUGGUUCGGCUUUUUGGGGGCCAAAAAACACAAAACCAAAUUGGAACUUUUUUACCACAUUUUCACGUUGGACCCCAAGCAAUUUUAGAUUUAGCGUUUUUGGCCCUAAAACAUGAAAAAACACAUUUUCACGUUAGACCCUUAGAGGUACAAUACUGCAAUGCAAAAACGCAAUACAAAUCCAAUAGGGAACCCUUAGAAACUUUCUCCCAUAUCCUUUAAUAACCUUUAUAAUUUUUUCAAAAACCCACCAAUUUUACUCAUUUACCUAACCACAAAACAAAACCCAUUCUCAGCAAAUCACCAUGUUGCUGGGCUCACCUUGCUGGUACAUUUUUCCUUUAUGUUUUCUUGCGUUUUCCUGUGCAUUUUUCAUCUAGUACAUUUUUCUUCUACAUUUUCAUCACAAAGCAACUUCAAGUGACCUUGUGAGAUGGGCAGCCACAGUUGUUGAUGAGAAACUGGGAGUGAGUGAGAACUAAGGAGAACUUUAGGUCUUUACUAAAGAGAAGUGACGACAAAUGUCUCUAGUCAUGUGUCCUUGGAUGCUUGUCACUUCUCUCAGGCUAUCAUCUUAACCUGUACAAGGUUUCAGCAAAUGCUAAGAAAUUCUCUACGUAUUGUCAUUUUUGGUAAUUUAUAAUUCAUAUUACAAUUUUGAUUUAAUCAAACACUCACAAUUUUCAAAAAGAACCUUUUAACUUUUACGCAACACUUUUUUUUUAAAUAGAAAAAUUUAAGGGAGAUGUUUGUUUGUGUUGUUUAAAUAACAAUUUUCGUUGUUUAAAUAGCACAACACAUAUUUUCAUAACAUUUUUUUACCCACACGUAUUUUCACAAUACUUAAAUAAUGUUACUAGAACAACAUUACUAAACAGACCCUAAUAUCAUACCUCAAUUUUAAAAAACACCUUAAAAAAAAAAAACACAAAUACAAAAAAUUGAACUAAACUGACUCUAAUUUGUGCUGGAUUAAGAUUAGGUACAUUAGUGAGAUUUUAAAGUGAAAAAGAAAAAGUAAAAGUAAAAAAAAGUUGAAAAAAGCAAAGGAGAAAGUAAAAAAAAAAAAAAAAAGUUAACCUCGAAAUCAUUUCAUAUCAUGGCUUUAUGUCCGAAUCAGACACUUUUGGCUCCACCAGGAAAUUAUUGAGUACUAUUUGAGAAUAUUACUAUACACAUUUUACUUUUUACUUUUUACUUUUAUUGUUCAACGAAUUAUUGUAAUAUUACUAUUUACUUUUGUACUCUAUAUAAUUAUAAGGAUGCGCCCUUGCUUUCUACACCCUUUGUAAUCUAGAAAAAAUCAAUCGUUGAAUCCAUUACCUUCUUCCAUCUAGAAAUCCUUCCCUUUGUAAUAUUUGAAGAAUUGAAAUCAAUUGCAACACUUGAUCUAAGUAAGUCUCUAAACUGUUUUCUUGAACUGUUUGCAAUCUUCAUCACUUUUUUUUUCUCUGUUGCUCCCACUUGUUCUCUACUUAGGAGUGUGUUCGAUUAUCGUGCUAAAUUUGCUGAUUCUUGAUUUUGCUAAUUCUUCUUCCUCAGGGUCUCCAUGUCGAACCAAAAUCAAAGCGAUAUAG
rnacentral:sRNA from 1 species